AGUCCAGCCGCAGGGGCCACCCGAACAGUCUCUCCUCCUCACAGAAGCCUGGAGCUGGGCAUCCAAGAAGAAGCAGCCUCAUUUGUUUUCUGGUGUCAUCGUAGGUGGCCACCUAUGGCUUUUGGGGAAAUUCCAUGAUCUUGCUUAUUCCUGUCUUGGGAAGUCCUUCUCCAUGUCUAACCAAGAUCUAUAUGGCUAUAGCACCAGCUCUUUGGCUCUUGGCUUGGCAUGGCUAAGUUGGGAGACCAAAAAGAAGAAUGUACUUCAUCUGGUUGGGCUGGAUUCCCUCUGAUAAGCCUUCCCAGUUGACUGAAAGAUGAGGCUAGGCUCUAGCAAGUUGAAGUCAAACCAGCUCCUUCAAGAAGCUUUGAGCAGAAUGAAGUGGGGAGGACCCAGCUUCCAGCCCAGGAAGCCCACUGUACCUGGAGCCAUCUGGGAUAAGACUUUGACCCAUGACUCCCAUAUCCACAGCCUGUCCAUCCUAGCCCAUCCCAGUUUAUCCUGUAUCAUUUGAGCUGGGAUUCCCACAUCCUCUGAGUUGGAAGUCCCAUCUCAAGUCUUCAAUAAAGACUCUUGAAUAUUGAAUCACAUUAA
rnacentral:lncRNA from 1 species